rnacentral:rRNA from 1 species
ACGUUCGGAUUGCAGUCUGCAACUCGACUGCAUGAAGCCGGAAUCGCUAGUAAUCGCGGAUCAGAAUGCCGCGGUGAAUACGUUCCCGGGUCUUGUACACACCGCCCGUCACACCAUGGGAGUCGGAAAUGCCCGAAGCCGGUGGCCUAACCGAUAAGGGAGGAGCCGUCGAAGGCAGGUCUGAUGACUGGGGUGAAGUCGUAACAAGGUACC